rnacentral:rRNA from 1 species
UACGUAGGGUGCAAGCGUUGUCCGGAAUUAUUGGGCGUAAAGAGCUCGUAGGCGGUUCGUCGCGUCGGCUGUGAAAACCCGGAGCUCAACUCCGGGCCUGCAGUCGAUACGGGCGGACUUGAGUGUUGCAGGGGAGACUGGAAUUCCUGGUGUAGCGGUGAAAUGCGCAGAUAUCAGGAGGAACACCGAUGGCGAAGGCAGGUCACUGGGCCGCAACUGACGCUGAGGAGCGAAAGCAUGGGGAGCGAACAGG